GAUGAACGCUAGCUACAGGCUUAACACAUGCAAGUCGAGGGACCGGCGCACGGGUGAGUUACACGUAUACCACCUGCCCUUUACUCGGGGAUAGCCUUUCGAAAGAAAGAUUAAUACCCGAUAUAAAGGACGGGGAUGCGUUCAUUUAGGUUGUUGGGGAGGUAACGGCUCACCGAGCAUUCGAUGGAUAGGGGUUCGGAGAGGAAGGUCCACCACAUUGGAACUGAGGCACGGACCAAACUCCUAGCGGGGGCAGGAGUGAGGUAUAUUGGGGAAUGGACGCUAGCGUGGAUCAGCCGAGUAGCGUGAGGGAUGAAGGCUUAGGGGUCGUAAACUUCUUUUAUAUAAGAAGAUGUAUUAUAUGAAUAAGGAUCGGCUAACUCCGUGCCAGCAGCCGCGGUAAUAC
rnacentral:rRNA from 1 species